AAGAGUACAAAGCUGUGCUUAUUGGAGGUCGACCAUCCUUGGCCCAGAACAUUGCGGGAACUCCUCAGCUUGGCGUUCUAGAUCCUACCAUCUUCAGCCAUGUCCUCAAUGAUCUUCCUGCCAUUGUCAAUUCAAAAAACUGAACCCUUCGAGAAACUCGGCGGCACACAGUGGUGCAAGCAAGUUAAGCUGCUGCCUCCCAGCACUAAGUCCAAUGCUGAACCCCAGUGCUAUCUAUGUGGAGUCUGCCUGUGAACACAUAGGUUUCCUCUGGAUCCUCCAAUUUUCUACCCACAUUCAAAAGAUGUAUAGACCAGCAGGUCUAUUGGCCACUGUAAGUUGUCCCUGGUGCAUAGGUGAGUGGCGGAGCCUAUGGAGAGUUCAUGAGAAGAGAAGUCAAAUCGGGAAGAAACACGUCCUGGAAGAGCAGCACAGUGGUGCAGCAGUAGAGUUGGUGCCUUACAACACUAGAGUCCCAAGUUCGAUCCUGACUGCGGGUGCUGUCUGUACGGAAUUUGACGUUCUCCCCAUGACCACGUGGGCUUUCUCUGGGUGCUCUGGUUUCCUUCCACACUCCAAAGACGUACAGGUUUGUAGAUGAAUUGACUUCUGUAAAUUGUCCCUAGCGUGUAGGAUAAAGCUAGUGUGUGGGGUGAUCACUGGUCCGCACGGACUCGGCGGGCCGAAGGGCCUGCUUCCACUCAGUAUCUCUAAAGAAAAGUAGAAGGUCACCCAUUCCAGCUAUCCAAAGAUGCUGCCUGAGUCACUCCAGCGUUUUGUAUCUAUCCUCGGUGUAAACCAGCAUCUGAAGUUCUAUCCAGCACAUUUUGUGCUGCCUGACCCGCUGAGUUGCCCCAGCACUUUGUGUCUAUCUUUGGUAUAAACUAGCAUCUGCGGUUUUUGAUUUCUGAACUUAUCCACUCCUCAGUUUAAAUCUGAGCUCAAGCACUUUCGAACAACGGUCCCACGACAAUUAUCAGAGAUUCCAAACUCUGUCCACCUUUUAUUUUCGCGUCCUUGCCCAGGGACUCUGAGGACCAGCAGGAACAACAUUAUCCCAGCCCCUGCUGGAGAUUCGCUCAAAGAUGAUUGACAUGUCUGCGGGACUCAGUCACUCUGACCAAAACAAAAAUAACCACUGAUUUUUGUUUUGUUCAAAUAUUUAUAAAUUAUUUGUAUCCAGCAUGCGGGAAGCGUUGAUUAUCCAUGCCUUCACGAGUCACUUCACUCUGGGUGCGUUGGUGUGUGAGUGGAUGGCUCACAGUCAAGGUACAGCAAGGAAUCCAACACCUAGUUUGUGAUUGUGAGUCCCAAUUAUCCAGUGCCACAGCCUGAGGAAAUGAUGGGAUUAUUCCAUGAUGGCAAAGACACCUUACCAGCGGCUAAGUCCUGACCUGCAACUCAAAUAUUGGUUAAUGGUGUAGCAUCGACUAAUUGUCACUUGGAGACAUCUCGGAAUUGCCAGCUACUGAAAACAGCAAUAACUCAAGUAACCCUUACCGUGCUGAAUAAACAGUCGCUCCCUCCGGUUACAAAGCAGUCGGGCUGCGCAGUUGGACCUCACCCCACCCCUCUUUUUGCCCACCUUCCAAAUCCACUCUCCCCUGCCACUCCCCCGCCAUUGAAGAGAUCUACAGGAGGUACUGCCUCAAAAAGGGAGCCAAUAUCAUCAAAGACCCACACCACCCUGGCCAUGCUCUCAUCUCGCUGUUAUCAUCGGGAGGAAGGUAUAAGAGCCUGAAAACCUUAAUCCUCCCGGUUCAAAAAUAGUUUCUUCCCAACUAUCAGGCUCUUGAACACUGCACAACACAAACUAAACUAUGAAUUAUGGGCAGUCUUUGGUUGCACGAAGAACUUCAGGCUUUUUUGCAUUAGUAUUGGGAUUAUUAAUUUAUUGAUAUUUUUUAUUUACUAUGAUGUGUAUGAGUGCUAUGUUUACAGAUCCGUUAAUUGUUUUGUUUUCAGUACAUAUAACAAGAUGAUGCCUGUCCUGCUGAGUUACUCCAGCAUUUUGUGUCUAACCAGCAUCUGCAGUUCCUUCCUGCAUGUGACAAUUAAGGUCUUAAGGACAUAAGGAAUAGGAGCAGUAUUAGGCCAUUUGGCCCAUCAAGUCUACUCCACCAUUCAAUCAUGGCUGAACUAUCUCUCCCUCCGAGACCCAUUCUCCUCAUAACCUUAAACACACUUGACGUAACUCUUGAAACCUGAUCUCUAUCUUUACUCUAAACUGUAUCUCCCUUGUCCUCCUGCCGUCUCUGUGUGGUCAACUGAACCUGUUCAUUCCAGUUCACCUCGCCAUUCCUGAGCUUCAACUACCUUCACCCUCACCAAUGCAGUCAUAGACAACAUCUCCAGUAUGGUUCCCGUUCACUUCAAUAGAUCUGGUGUCACCCACAGAUCAAUCCAUGGCCCGCCCUCACUUCCUGCUGCCUACCCAAUGACAUCCCACAAGGUCCUAUCUCAUCUUCCACCGCAGGAUGCAGCUGCCCCGUCUGCCACUUCUUGCUACUGAUGCACGUGUAAAGCAUUCAGCCCUGAACGAGUGUAAUUAAGCUUGUUAACAACCGUCAGCUUCCAACAGAAACUGUAGAUGUUUGUCACAGGUUUAGGCUUAAGGUUAUUAUUGCCACGUUUACCGAGGUACAGAGAAAAGCUUUGUUCUGCAUGCGAUGCAAACAGAUCAGACAAUACUGUGCAUAGAUACAAUGCAUAGUGUUUGUGCACUUCAAGUAUAAUAGGUGGACCAAAGGCUAGCACAAGUACAAGCAAAGACUUGUAAAAGUACAUACAAAGUACCAGUACAAGUACAAGCGAUGGUAGGUAAAGGUCUUGCCAAGUACUAGUACCAGGUCAUAA